rnacentral:lncRNA from 7 species
GGGCGAGGUGAGGUGAGCGCCCGCUCCUGCCAUGGCGGCGCUGCGGGACGUCUUUCGGCGGCCUUUCGGCGGCCCGCUCGCGAUGGUCAGCAGUGGACAGGACCCAGUGACAGACAUGGAAGAGUUUGGUGCUUCUGACAACUGCGGAGCGUCGCUGAGGAUCCCAGAGCUGUGACUGCAGUUUUCCAAUUCCCAGGCUGUCUUGGCAGUAGAGGAAAUGUGAAGAAGAGCUAUGUGUCAUUUGAAUAGUGCUGUCAUCUUACCAAUUACUACUAUAGCUGCUGUACACAGGUGUUGCAAGGUCAUACCUUCACCCAUCCGAGGCAAAGACAUGAUGUUAUCUGCCUGAAAAUAUCUGUCUGGGCAAUCCUUCAACAAGACUUCUCCCACACAUCAAUCCAACUUUCUUUUUUCUCCUGUAACUUCUUGCUUCUUUCAUGUUGCACAAGAGGUUCCCUAAAACAUUAAUUUUUCCUCCUCCAAAUUCCUACACUUGAAUUGAAUAGAAUUUGGAGUGGUAUGAAGUGCCUCACACAGAGAAGAACCAGCAUUUUGAAGGGCCUGCAGGUGCUGCUACCUGAAGGUUAGUUUAACAACUGAAAAUACUCUAUCGUGAAUGGCCUCAAUAUAUCAUUCAGAUUUGUCCAAACUUGUUAGCACUGGCAAAAGUAAUCUCCAUUUCCUCCUGGCUACUUGACAAAAGGAGGACAACAAACUUCUCUCUGCUGACUAGGAAUACAGUAAACAUUCAUGAUUUCAAGUAUGGUGAUAAGAGCGUAUUGCACCACAGUGCCAUCUCAUAGCAGUUUGUUCAGCUGAGCAUUCACUGGGCCAGCACAUCACCACUGUCAGCAUGCAAAUAAGCUCUCCCAUGCAGCUGAGAAUGAAGGCCAGAAGCCUGAAAAUAACCCAGCAAAGCAUGCCUGUUGUAAGGAAUGAGAGGUACUUGCCAACUUUUAAUCACUGGGCUUAGUGACUGGCAUGACAACAUUUUUCUGAUGGGGAAAUUAUUUACAGGCAGUUGGAAGGUCAGGAGGCUGUCUGAAACACUCAAUGGCAAAAUUAGAGUUAGCCUUUCAGUCAACCAUGUUGCUCAGGUACCUGCUUGGUGUUCCAGUGUUAACGUGCAGUACAUUCGAAGUGCAGCCACCUUCACUGUAUGUUUCGGUGUACAAAAUUACCUUCUAAUUAAGAAAUAAGCACAGUGGUAGGGAGGAUUCCACUUUGAGUCUCAGCUUGGCUGUGAGACUCAGUGCAAGCCGUGUAGUGGGCUGUUAGAGUGGUUUGCUUGAUUCUGUUUCUUGUGUCAAACGUUUGUCAGUGUUGAUGAUGAAUAGUAGGGAAAAAUACUGAAUAAGCCCUAAGUGAUUAAUUAGAAUAUUAGUUUAGUAUUUCUGCUGCCAGACAGUCAUGCAGUCCCUGGCAUUACUGCUUAAGGUCUAAAAUGUUGAGAGAGGAAGAGGAAUUUCAAAUAUGUUUAUUCUUAUCCAGAUAAUCUCUGAAUUUAAACUCUAAUAAAGCUUUUCACCGGAAUGAGAUGUUAACUAGCCAAUACUUUAUUCACACUUCAGUUAAACAACGUUUACCUCGGUGAAAGGCACCCAAACUGUGCUACUCUGUGCUACCCUGUUUCUGUGGAAACUGUGUGUUGGAGUGGAAUAGGAAUAAUGGUGGAGAAAAGGAGAGCAGUAGCGUUUUGGCUGAAGUCCUGUUGGCCAGCCCCCGUUUCAGCUGGGAUAAGUCAGCCAAGCAAGGCCUCAGUGCUGGAGCCCCGACAGUUCUUUUUCCUCCUCCUCCUAACUUGUGCCGAGGGAGGAGUCUGCUUCACAGACACCAUUCAAAAAGUGCUUGCUAAAGCAAUUUAUCUGUAUUUUCCCCUGGUUUUUCAUGCAACAAGAAUUUUAGCCAGUCAGUAAUGUUAGUCAAUAGCUGCCUACACUGGUAGGGUAAGGUUUGUUCUGAAAAGAACUUCCAUUGACGCGUAUGUUACUCAGUCACUGCUCUUCUAAAAAGCACCACUGUAUUCUUGGAAAGAAACUCUCCCAAAACUGAAAAGACACAUUUUUCAUCAUUCAGGGGUUUCCAAAAUAUGCAUAUGUUUGAUGGAUUGCCAGGAAAGACAGACAGCCUUGACCAGUAAACUCAGCUCUGUAUUCUCUCUUCUCUGGUAGCUGUUUCACUGACAUUCAUGUUGUUUUCUCCUGGAAUAAGGUAUCUUUCUUAAAAAUAAAAUAUGAAUU